rnacentral:rRNA from 1 species
UACGUAGGGUGCAAGCGUUAAUCGGAAUUACUGGGCGUAAAGCGUGCGCAGGCGGUUUUGUAAGUCAGAUGUGAAAUCCCCGGGCUUAACCUGGGAACUGCGUUUGAAACUACAAGGCUAGAGUGUGGCAGAGGGGGGUGGAAUUCCACGUGUAGCAGUGAAAUGCGUAGAGAUGUGGAGGAACACCGAUGCCGAAGGCAGCCCCUGGGUUAACACUGACGCUCAGGCACGAAAGCGUGGGGAGCAAACAGG